AUGAAAUUGAAAAUGUAAUUAAAAACUUAUCACCUAAGAAAAGCCCGGGCCUCUGACUCUGCUGCUCACUCGUCUCUCCCCGGCGCCACCUCUCCCAUUUUGGAAACCUGGUCCGAAUGGCACCAUCCACCGGACAUUCCCCAAAUCAAGAUCAAAAGGGCCGGCUUGCAAGUGAACUCACCUGGAGCAGACAUGGAGCCUCCCUUGUGCCUUCCCCUUGCUCAGGUGGAAUAGCUAGAGCCCCACGAGGCCGAAACAGAUGCUCCGGCUCCAUGUCCAGAACACCAUGGGCCUGCUCUGCAGCCAGAGCCAGCACCAGAGAAGGAGCCUCCUCUGGAGACAGGAGAGAAGCAGAAGCCAGCUCCACAGCACUCCUGCCUCUCUGCUGCCGCUGACAAGGACAGGCCCUUGCAGAAGGGGAGCGAGGAGCUUCCGGGGUGCAGAAGCCCAGCAGAGGCGGCCCCCCUACAGGCCUCCUCCCGGACCAGGACAGCGGGGACACUGCCACGCAGAGGACCGUGUGGAAGCCAGGAGAGCGGCUCAGAGCGCGGGCGAACAGGAAGGGAGGAAGCCGGGACCAGCGCGGCGCAGAAUGCACUCUCCCUGUCAGCUCGGGCGCAGCCACCGGGGUCCCUGAGAGAGGCCUUCGGGACAAGGAAGGAAGCGCGGAAGGCCCUGGGCCACAGGAAGGCAGAGCGCCAGGGCGGCGAACAGCUCACUUGAGACCCCCCUGUGCCACUGCCGAGCUCAGCUCAGGCGCCCAGCGGAGCCCUCAGGGCAAGGAUCCCAGCGGGGCGUCACUGUGGCCCCAGGAACAAACCAUCAGAUAACCGGGAAAGGGCAGGGUCCUCCUAGGCAGAGGAGUAAGGAGUGCUUGUUGGAGAUGCUCCGCCCUCUAGGGAGCCUAGGUCCCCGCCCUCACUCUGAGCUGUGCCAGGCCAGCAUUCUCUCAGUUUUCCUGGAAGCUAAACCUCUUCCAAACAAAAGUUAAUCAAGAAAUUUAAAGACCUACAUUUAACAAGCAAAAGUUCAGGGUGUGAUAUCUAAGGUCACUACGGAAAAACCAGAGACCAGAUACAUCACUCCUAACUGCAAGAGAAAAGGAAAAGUCAGGUGUGGUGGUGCUUCCCAGCAAUCUCAGAUCUCGGACACGGAGCAAGACCUAUUCUCUCUCUCUCUCUCUCUGAAAAAGAAACAGUGAGGUGAAUUACUUCUGAAGAAAUAACGAAAAGCUUCCAGCCUACUUCGAGGAAGCAAGACAGAGAGGAAGACAGAAUAAGGUGGUAGAAAUAAGCACGAAUAUACGAACAUGUUCUCUUUCCCCUGGCAACCUGAGUGCGCAUCUAUGUAAAUAGGGAAGGGUGGAGGGGGUGAAGGGUGCACAGGGAAUGGGGGAAAAGAUAAGAACCAAGAUGCAUCAUGUAUAGGUACAAGCACCCACUGGUAAAUGUAAAUGAAUUGUAUA
rnacentral:lncRNA from 1 species